rnacentral:rRNA from 1 species
UCUCCGGAGAGUUAGCGGCGGACGGGUGAGUAACACGUAGGUAACCUGCCUGUAAGACUGGGAUAACUAGCGGAAACGUUAGCUAAUACCGGAUAAUUUAUUUUCUCGCAUGGGGAAGUAAUGAAAGACGGAGCAAUCUGUCACUUGCAGAUGGACCUGCGGCGCAUUAGCUAGUUGGUGGGGUAACGGCUCACCAAGGCGACGAUGCGUAGCCGACCUGAGAGGGUGAACGGCCACACUGGGACUGAGACACGGCCCAGACUCCUACGGGAGGCAGCAGUAGGGAAUCUUCCGCAAUGGACGAAAGUCUGACGGAGCAACGCCGCGUGAGUGAUGAAGGUUUUCGGAUCGUAAAGCUCUGUUGCCAGGGAAGAACGUUCGGUAGAGUAACUGCUACCGGAGUGACGGUACCUGAGAAGAAAGCCCCGGCUAACUACGUGCCAGCAGCCGCGGUAAUACGUAGGGGGCAAGCGUUGUCCGGAAUUAUUGGGCGUAAAGCGCGCGCAGGCGGCUAUUUAAGUCUGGUGUUUAAUCCUAAGGCUCAACCUUAGGUCGCAUUGGAAACUGGGUAGCUUGAGUGCAGAAGAGGAGAGUGGAAUUCCACGUGUAGCGGUGAAAUGCGUAGAGAUGUGGAGGAACACCCAGUGGCCGAAGGCGACUCUCUGGGCUGUAACCUGACGCCUGAGGGCGCGAAAGCGUGGGGAGCCAAACAGGAUUUAGAUACCCCUGGCAGGCCCACGCCCGUAAACGAUGAAAUGCUUAGGUGUUAGGGGGCUU